ensembl:lncRNA
CUUCAGCUAAAAAGAACAGAAGGCUUCUCUAGCACAAGUUUUCAGUUGAAGCAAUCCAACUGCUACCAUAAAGGUAGCCUGAACUGACACUCUUGGUUCAUAACCAGGAUUUUCAAGCAAGCAAAUAGAUUGCAGGGGUAUGAGUUGGAACCUGGGUACUUUAUUGCAGACGAUGGUGAUCCCACCAGCUCAAGCAUACAGCAGUUUAACUCACUGUGCUUCUGAAUGCUGAGAGAAGGUAGUGCUGCAAAAGAGUUAUACAGUUAUUACUAAAUCCUGAAAAGUUUCAGGCAUUCUUGUAAGCCAUAUUUUGCUCAUUUCAAAAGAAAAAGAAAGGCAUAUAAUUCACCUCCAUUUUGCCAUACUUAACUGUAUUACUGGUGAUGUUUGAACACGUUUAAGAUCUUUCCCCAGCUGCCCUUUCCAAAUAUAAACCAAAAGGUUCAUAUUUGUUCUUUUUCUUUCCCCACUGUACAUAUUAUUGUUUGGUUGUCUGUGUAUCUUGCUCUGACUAAAACAUCCUUAGCAGUAGCUUCGUCAGACAAUAAAAUUUUAUUUAAGAUACUGAGGUAUAAGAUAUGAAAAUAAUCUGAAUCCACUGACUCUAAUUAACAUAUGGUGAUCUUAAGAAAAUCUUGUU